UACGAAGGGGGCUAGCGUUGCUUGGAAUCACUGGGCGUAAAGGGUGCGUAGGCGGGUCUUUUAAGUCAGGGGUGAAAUCCUGGAGCUCAACUCCAGAACUGCCUUUGAUACUGAAGAUCUUGAGUUCGGGAGAGGUGAGUGGAACUGCGAGUGUAGAGGUGAAAUUCGUAGAUAUUCGCAAGAACACCAGUGGCGAAGGCGGCUCACUGGCCCGGUACUGACGCUGAGGUGCGAAAGCGUGGGGAGCAAACAGG
rnacentral:rRNA from 1 species